UCCACCCACCCACACAGCCUGCUCUCAUAGAAGAGAAGACUUAAACUGAGCCCCCUAACUCCGGGAUCUAAAGAGCGGACAUUCUCCGUUCCCAAGGAGGACAGAGGCCCAUUGUAUCCAGUACUGAAGAGUCACUUAUCCUGGUUCCCACAGCCUGGGCUGGGGAGAAUGGGAGAAAAGGUCUGGAUAAGGCUAGAGGUCAAACACAGGGAGAGAUAAAAGCAGAUACUCGGAAAAACCUCGGAAAGAGAAAAUGACUGAGCUAAAGACACACAACGCUGGAGUUUUUUUCAUUAUCACUUCAGACUUAAGACUGCCUGUUUCCUGUGCUGCCUUUGACUUUUAGAGACAAAGAAGUAGACAAAAAAAAAAGAAAAAAGCUA